AACGGCUUCAACAAGCAAUAGUAAUUUAAAUUGGUGUAAAGGGUACGUAGCUUGUGUCUUAGUGACACUUGAGUUAGAUGGAGGUAAGUACAAUACUUAGAGUAGGGCUGAUAUCUUAUGAUCCUAAGGGGAGUGCUAAUGGCGAAGGCAACUUACCAAGCAAUAACGUGACGGUGAGGUACGGAAAGUUAGGGAUAGACAGG
rnacentral:rRNA from 1 species